rnacentral:lncRNA from 1 species
AUAUGUUCUGUUUCUCUAGGUCCAUGUCUGUAAUUGCUAACUUCAACUAUCAGCAGGACAUCUGAUGGCUUACUGUGCACGAGAGAAGUCAUAGCUUUCCCGUUUCUACUUUUUAAAAUCUCAUCUAGAAAUCUUCGCUUUAAUUUCUCUUCACCAUGUAAAUGUGUGACAACAUCCACGUGAUGGUGCAGGCGGCAGCCGUUCUUGGUUUAUCAUUCUGCUCAUUGCCUUUCCUCCACUUGAAGCUAAUAAAAAGUGAGGAAUCAACGAACUCACGGCUGUCAGAUGAAGAGUCCCAUGGCCUUACAGUUCAUCCUUUUCUGUCUACUGUGAUCAGGCUUGGAAUUUCAUCCCUGAGCUCAACUAGUCGUGUAAAUACCCUCAUUUACAUAUUUAUCUCCCAUUGUUUUCUGAUGUGAUAAGGCUGUUUUUCUA